rnacentral:pre_miRNA from 1 species
AGUGGAAUUGCUGGGUCAUAUGGUAGCUCUAUAUCUAGUUUUUUGAGGAACUGCCAGACUGUUUCCCACAACAACUCUGCCAUUUUGCAUUCCCACCAGCAGU